UUCGUCGGUGCGGUGGGACUGAAAAGGAGUGGGAAGCCCAGCGAGCCGUGAAGAAAAGGAAGAGAGAGCCCUCAGAUCCCUUCGCCCUUUCCCUCCGCACUCGACGAGAGAUGGAGUACCGAAAAACCAAAGAUCAGGAAAACUAUGAGGAUGCAUCUCAAAAGGAUAUAGAGAGUCUACGUUGGACGCCUCUUUCUGGUGUGGUAACUAACAGCAUGCCUAGCUCUGUAGGUGGCUCAAACAAGUCUAGUUGGAAGCUAAAGUCAAUUGUUACACUUGCAUUAACAUUGCUGACGAGUUCACAGGCAAUACUGAUUGUGUGGUCCAAAAGAGCUGGAAAGUAUGAAUACAGUGUGACAACAGCAAACUUUUCGGUGGAGGCUUUAAAAUGUGCAUUGUCACUUUCAGCCCUUGCUAGAAUCUGGAAAAGUCAAGGUGUCACGGAAGACAACAAGUUAAGUACAUCUUUUGACGAAGUUAGUGUUUAUCCUAUUCCUGCAAUACUUUACCUCAUUAAGAACUUACUACAGUAUUACAUCUUUGCAUAUGUGGACGCCCCUGCUUACCAGAUAUUGAAGAACCUAAACAUUAUCAGCACCGGUGUGUUAUACCGAAUCAUCCUAAAGAAGAAGUUAAGUGAAAUCCAGUGGGCAGCUUUUAUUCUUUUAUGUGCAGGGUGCACAACAGCUCAACUCAACCCUUCUUCUGAUCAUGUUCUUCAGACUCCUUUACCAGGUUGGGUGAUGGCCAUUGUCAUGGCACUUCUAAGUGGCUUUGCUGGGGUAUACACAGAGGCUAUUAUUAAAAAGCGCCCUUCAAGAAAUAUUAAUGUGCAGAACUUCUGGCUGUACAUCUUUGGAAUGGUUUUUAAUCUGAUUGCAAUUUGCAUUCAGGAUUAUGAUGAAGUCAUGAACAAAGGUUUCUUUCAUGGCUAUUCAUUUAUCACAGUUUGCAUGAUCGUCAAUCACGCACUCAGUGGCAUUGCUGUAUCAAUGGUUAUGAAGUAUGCCGAUAACAUUGUUAAGGUAAAAAACAUUGGAAGCUGCUUUCUAUUAUGUAUCAGGUCUAUUCAACUUCAGUAGCAAUGCUUCUGACAGCUGUUGUAUCAGUGUUUCUUUUUGGCUUCCAUCUUUCCCUUGCCUUCUUUCUUGGAUCUACGGUUGUUUCGAUCUCAAUAUAUCUACACUCUAUUGGGAAGCCACAACCACAAAAAUGAGGUUUUUUGCACAGAUUUUGGUGGUUGAACGGAACUCUUUCUACCUCAUCCUAAAUAUCCUUAUCUUGGUAGAACUGGGAUUUGUUUCAGAAGGCCAAACAAGCAUUACAGAAGCUGUUGAUGCUAAUGGAAGUGUCAUCACACCCAUAUAAUCAAUUCUAGACCUCCCUUUGUAUCAAUUCUUAAUGCAUCAAAGUAAUCGGUACAAGUGGUCUGGAAGAAAGCUGGACUUUUAAGUCCUUAUAUUCUUGCAAAUGUGCUGCCUAAGUGCUGGUUCGUUUCAGGCUCUUGGCCCUUGAUAUUCCUCCGCUGUUUCAUGACACUCAGAACCACUGUCUUGGAAAUUUAAUUAGACAAAAGAAGGCAAUGCCUGCAUAGUCCUGUAUAUGGAUUCUUUAAGUGCUGUGUGAUUGUGUCAAAAUUUACUGUACUCAGAAUAUAAUGACGCUCAUUCUUUUGGACCCCAACGUGGUGAGUGCAAAUGAAUUCACCAUAUUUUACCAUAUAGAAAUUGUUACGACUCUCAA